rnacentral:tRNA from 3 species
GCUCGUGUAGCUCAGUUGGCUAGAGCGUUCGAUUCACAUUCGAAAGGCCCCUGGUUCAAGUCCAGGCACGAGCACCA